GUAUAAGAGAGGCCUGGGCAGCUCUACCCCAGAGGUGAGGUCUAAGAAGGGGCUACGUGCACCAUGGCCUGGUCUCCUCUCCUCCUCCUGCUUCUCUCUCAAUGCACAGGUUCCCUUUCCCAGACUGUGCUGACUCAGCCACCAUACCUCUCUGCCUCCCCGGGAUCAACAGCCAGACUCACCUGCACCCUGAGUAGUGACCUCAGUGUUGGUGGUAAAAACAUAUAUUGGUACCAGCAGAAGCCAGGGAGUCCUCCCCAGCUGUACCUGUACUACUACUCAGACUCAGACAAGCAACUGGGGCCUGGGGUCCCCAACAGAGUCUGUGGAUCCAAAGAUGCUUCAGCCAACACAGCAUUUUUGCACAUUUCUGGACUCCAGCCUGAGGAUGAGGCUGAUUAUUACUGUCAGGUGUCCACAAGCAAUGCUUAUCACAGUGGCCCAGGCAGAUGA